AUGAUAGAAUUUAAACCCUUUUUAAAGUAUCAAUUGGAGGGCAAGUCUGGUGCCAGCAGCCGCGGUAAUUCCAGCUCCAAUAGCGUAUAUUAAAAUUGUUGCAGUUAAAAAGCUCGUAGUUGAAGUUCUGCUAAAAGUAACCGGUCUGCUUUUAAUAAAAGUGGUAUCUUGGUGUGUAUUUAGCAAUGAUGUCCUUUGAAGUGUUUUUUACUUUAUUGUAAUAAAGCAUAUUCAGGACUUUUACUUUGAGAAAAUUAGAGUGUUUCUAGCAGGCCGACGCUUUGAAUACUGCAGCAUGGAAUAAUAAGAUAGGAUUUUAGUUCUACAUUAUUGGUUUUAA
rnacentral:rRNA from 1 species